UAUGUGAUUGACAUUACUCAACUUUAUGCAGCAUUGGUGCUUCAAGGAUGAAGAGUGAGUGUAUGUCAUUCAGGGAUUACUGUGGACAAGGAAAUGUUGAAGGGUCUCUCUCUCUCCCCUUCCAUAUUGACUUGUUAUAUAAAGUUUCCACCGAAUUCUACCACUUUUCUGUUUGUAUCCAUGGAAAUAUUCUCAGAUGUUCAUCUUUCCAAAAUCAAAAUACACGAUUUAGGGUUUAGGGAUGGCCACACAUUAGUCCCUGUAGUGAAAACAUCCUCGUUUACACUUGUGCCAAUUUUGGUUUGCAGUUGCAUGAGAUCGUUCCAGGAAGUGAAGAGGGAGCAUGCUGUCCUGAGGCAGAAACUAGAAGCAUAUUUCCAGCUUCUGCGACAAGCUGGUCCCGCUGGAGCUGCCACUAGGCCUGCCAUGUAAGGACUGGGCUUUGACAUUCUACAAGCUGAAGUAAAAUGGAUUAUGGCACAAGAAGAUAGUCUGGACAACUAGCUGGACCUGCUGCGCAGCGUCCAGGGGGCAGCAUAUGCAUGUUAGCAUGUAUAGAUAUAACGGAAAUAACAAGAGAUGAGAUACCUGUGUAACUGAUUAAAUACAAGCUUCCUCGCAAAAGAAAAUAAAAGGAGCAAAUACAAGCUUGAAAGAUACUAUAUUCUCAUGUCCAACAUGUAACGACGGAAUAAGAGUACAGGAGUGUUGCUCUCUGACACUUUGCCUGUU